GGAUGCGAUCAUACCAGCACUAAAGCACCGGAUCCCAUCGCGAGAGUAGUACUAGGAUGGGUGACCUCCUGGGAAGUCCUCGUGUUGCAUUCC
rnacentral:rRNA from 1 species